AGGUUUUCCCGGUUAGGGGUCGCCACAGUGGAUCACCUUUCCAGUUCACAGACUGUGACUCCAAUAUCAAAGAGCCUGCAGUCACUACAUCUGAUCUCGAUACUGCCCGAGUUCUGAUACAAGGCCUACUCCUACAUGUUUUACUCAGAAUGUUGUUAUUAUUUAAUACUUGCACAGAAAAUGGGCUUCUACCCAGUUGGACUUUCC